rnacentral:lncRNA from 1 species
AGAUAUUGGAUAUAGAGCUCGUAGACAACGUACUAUUCACUAACACUCGCCAUUUUGUGUGCUACAAAAUUCUAGACUAUUUGCCAACAAGGUGCCACGGACGAUGAUAAAUAUAAAAGGAAGAAAUUCAACUCCACUUUUCCGGGAUAAAAUAUUCCUGUUCCCCGAGAUGAAUUAGAAUAUGCAAAUUGAGUACCAUUGCCUGGUAUAUUCUUCCAUACUAUUUCAUAAUAGCUCCAUCUAUUGAUUCGUAAAGUAACUGCGCGUGUAGAUCGAAUUUUAGGUCAACAUCAAAAAAUAUCUCGAGUAUUUAAUUAAAUGCAAUACUAGCUGGAAGUUUAAGUGAGAACGGCAAGUUCAGUGUGUUUAUUUUCUAGCUUAAUUGUCAGAAAAAUAAACAGAAAAACUGAAUGCAAUCACAAUGAAUUUUAUUAAAAUUAUUAUUACAUUAGAAAAAGAUU